AAUAGAUACCCCGGUAGUCCUGGCCGUAAACGAUGUCGACUAGAUCGCAGCCGCUCUGACGCGGUUGCGGUCGAAGCAAAAGUGCUAAGUCGACCGCCUGGGAAGUACGGUCGCAAGGCUAAAACUCAAAGGAAUUGACGGGGGCUCACACAAGCGGUGGAGCAUGUGGUUCAAUUCGAAGCAACGCGCAGAACCUUACCUGGGUUUGACAUGCUAGGAUUACCCUCGUGAAAGCGAGGUAGGCCCCGCAAGGGGUACAACUAGUACAGGUGCUGCAUGGCUGUCGUCAGCUCGUGUCGUGAGAUGUCGGGUUAAGUCCCUUAACGAGCGAAACCUUUACCCUUAGUUACCAGCGGGUUAUGCCGGGGACUCUAAGGGGACUGCCGGUGUCAAACCAGAGGAAGGUGGAGAUGACGUCAAGUCCUCAUGGCCUUUAUGCCCAGGGCCACACACGUGCUACAAUGGCGUGCAUAGAGCGAACCUAAAGCGCGAGCUCAUGGGAAUCGCAAAAAUCACGCCCCAGUUCAGAUCGG
rnacentral:rRNA from 1 species